rnacentral:rRNA from 1 species
GACGAACGCUGGCGGCGUGCCUAACACAUGCAAGUCGAACGGAAAGGCCCUGCUCUUGUGGGGUGCUCGAGUGGCGAACGGGUGAGUAACACGCGAGUAACCUGCACUUGACUUUGGGAUAUCUUCAGGAAAAUGGGGCUAAUAUAGGAUAGGAGAUCUUGCUGCACGGUGGUGGUUGGUAAGAUUCGGCGGUUGGGGAUGGACUAGAGGCUUAUCAGCUUGUUGGUGAGGUAGUGGCUUACCAAGGCUUUGACGGGUAGCCGGCCUGAGAGGCUGACCGGCCACAUUGGGACUGAGAUACGGCCCAGUCUCCUACGGGAGGCAGCAGUGGAGAAUAUUGCACAAUGGGCGGAAGCCUGAUGCAGCAACGCCGCGUGCGGGAUGACGGCCUUCGGGUUGUAAACCGCUUUCGCCUGUGACGAAGCGUGAGUGACGGUAAUGGGUAAAGAAGCACCGGCUAACUACGUG